CCUACGGGGGGCAGCAGUGGGGAAUAUUGCACAAUGGGGGAAACCCUGAUGCAGCGACGCCGCGUGAGUGAAGAAGUAUCUCGGUACGUAAAGCUCUAUCAUCAGGAAAGAAAAUGACGGUACCUGACUAAGAAGCCCCGGCUAACUACGUGCCAGCAGCCGCGGUAAUACGUAGGUGGCAAGCGUUAUCCGGAUUUACUGGGUGUAAAGGGAGCGUAGGCGGCGCUUCAAGUGCGAGGUGAAAGCCCAUGGCUUAACCAGGGUGCUGCUCUUGAAACUGGAGAGCUGGAGUGCGGGAGGGGCAAACGGAAUUCCUAGUGUAGCGGGGAAAUGCGUAGAGAUUAGGAGGAACACCAGCGGCGAAGGCG
rnacentral:rRNA from 1 species